AACGAACGCUGGCGGCGCGCCUAAUACAUGCAAGUCGAACGAGAAGGUGUAGCAAUACACUUGUACAGUGGCGAACGGGUGAGGAAUGCAUGGGCAACCUACCCUCGAGUGGGGAAUAACCAGCCGAAAGGUUGGCUAAUACCGCGUACGCUUCCGGGUCUCCGGAUCCGGAAGGAAAGUCACACCGUGGGUGUGACGCUCAAGGAUGGGCUCAUGUCCUAUCAGCUUGNGGUGAGGUAACGGCUCACCAAGGCAACGACGGGUAGCUGGUCUGAGAGGACGAUCAGCCACACUGGCACUGCGACACGGGCCAGACUCCUACGGGAGGCAGCAGUAAGGAAUAUUGCGCAAUGGGCGAAAGCCUGACGCAGCGACGCCGCGUGGGGGGAUGAAGGUCUUCGGAUUGUAAGCCCCCUUUUAGGAGGGAAAAUGGGGCGAGCAAUCGUCCGGAUGGUACCUCCAGAAAAAGCCACGGCUAACUUCGUGCCAGCAGCCGCAGUAA
rnacentral:rRNA from 1 species